UGGACAAAUUAUUGUAUUCGACUGUAUUUACGGCAUGAAAUAGGGGAUUACACUGUUUUUAAACGGAAAGUGAAUCAAUUAACAUAAUAGACUCCU
rnacentral:pre_miRNA from 1 species